CCUAACUGGGAUAGGGUGUACGGUGGAGACUACUUUCUCCACCGUACACCCUAUCCCAGUUAGG
rnacentral:pre_miRNA from 1 species